rnacentral:lncRNA from 1 species
AUAAUAAUAUAAAAUAAAAAAUAAUUAAAUAAACAAAUAUAGUUUGUAAAUAGUUAAUUUCCAUGUACUGAUAUAAGCGAAUGAGAUUUUUUUUCGAUUUGCUGUGUUAUAUUUUUGAAAUUUUAAAUGUAUUUUCUACCUUUAUUUAAACAAUUAAUUUAUUUAAAUCUUAUUCAAUUUUAAAUUUGAUUGGUAGUAAAAUUAUUUUUAUAUUAUUUUUUUUAUUUAGUUAGUUCAUGGACUGGACAUAAUUAAAAAAUUUUAGUUCGCAAACCAAUCCGCAAAAUGGUGGAUUGGAUAUGGAUUGAGUCAAAUCCACAUCCGAUCCACAGAUGUAUGGAUUAGAUUUGGAUUGAAUUUCAUUAAUCCGUGGAUUGGAUUGGAUUGAAAAUUUAUAAUCCACAAAAUCGUGGAUUGGAUAUGGAUUGAGGUCUAAUCCGUAAAAUUCGAUCCGUGAACACCCAUAAUCCUUGGGCAGUGGAUUCUUUCAGUAAUCCAGGAUUGAAGAAGAAACCAUUUUUUAUCAGUCUCGAAAUGUAUCAGUCGGAUAGUCAAAACUCUGCCACAACACUACUACUACUACUACUCCUCAUCCUCCUACUCCUACUACUCCUACUACUACAAUAUAUUACCAGUUAGUUUCACUCAAAUUUAACAAAAAUGUAUGUACAAUUUCAAAGCUGUUUAUUCUGGUUCUCAUAUAUAGCAACAACACUUCAAUAACAAAAGAAUUUAAUUACAAAUCGUAAUUCUAAGUUUAAUAUCUGUUUGACUAUGAAUGAUUAGAUUAUAAUUUCAUUUUAUUCUGUAGCAAUACAGAACCAUAGCUCCCUUGGUCUUCGAUCUUAUUUUAUUAUCUGUCAUAGAAAGCUAACCCGCCCAUAACGAAACUCUUCAAAAUAUGUUUUUAGAAUGAUAAACGAAAAAUUUUCGUACUCAAUUACUCUUUGAUACAUCUGAAAGUCUUACAAUAGACGGCAGAGUGAUGCCACUUAUUCCAAAAGUUAUCCCAAAAUGUCACCCGAAAUAGUAAGUCACACAUUCAUUACAUGAAAUCAUAAAAAUGGGAGAACAAAUUAUCUUACUAAAUCACUCAAAUUAUUCUUAAAUAAUGAUAUUACUGUGGUAUAGACUCAUCUACCUUCCAUCCUUGAUAUUGUCACAUCAUUCACAGAACAAACUUCUAACUUGAUUUCAGUAACUUCUGGCUCUUCAUAAUCAGAAGAAAUAUUAAUGUAAAAUGCCGGUUGCUUUGGUUUAGGCAGAGCCAUGGUAUCGUUGCUAAGCAUGGAAACCACAUCGGACAUUGUUGGUCUAUCAGCUGCUCGGUCUUGAACACACAAAGGACCCACAUGAAUACAUCUCAUAACUUCGUCGGGAGAGCAUGAUUCAUCCAAUGUUGGGUCCAUUAACUCCAAAGCUUUGCCUUCAUUCCAUAGUUGCCAGGCCUGAAACAGGUAAAAGUUUUGCUUAAAUAAACUAAUCUUGCUCUAUUUUUUAUUAAAUAAACAGGGGAUUUUUUAUUACUCACAUAUCCGACUAGGUUGAGUGGGCGUUCUGUGUCAUAAGAACCAUUGUUCUUCUUGCUACUUAUAAUUUCCAGUACCAAAACUCCGAAGCUAUAUACAUCAAAUAUCGAAGGGUGUUAUUCAUGUUCAAGCAAGUUUCAACAACACCAUUAUGACUAUUGCAAAUGUCUGGGGUCGGGUAAUUCCUUGGUCCUUGACCGGUUUAUUGGAAAAAUAAAAUAUGUAGUCUCUCAUGUAGUUGAGAUGAUGAUAUGAUGAUAUAUGUGAUGAAAUGGAUGGAGAAUAUUCAUAAUCAUGAUAUAAAUAUUAGGAUGAUGAUGAUAAUGCAAAAAUCAGGAUGACAUAACACCAAAUUAUGUCCUAUUAGCUGUGAUUUAAAUAUCUGAACUUUAUAAGCCUAUCGUUCUAAAAUUUUAACACGUGUAUACGUUUAUUAACAAAUGAAUUCGUCUAGUACAAACGUGGAGUCAACAAUAUGACAUCGACAUUUUUAUAAAUGCUCUCAUAGGGAAAGUAAGGAUAGUUUUUUUAUUCAAAUGUUAUGAAAAACUAUGGAGAUGACAACCAAGUCCAGCAUGAUUUCGAAUCAAUCAAGGUCAACCCAGAUUUUAGACAGAUAAUUAAAUAAACGCUAGCUAAGUCAACAAUCUAACUUAUGAAAAUUAUUGAUUUUUUUGCGGUAUGCUUAAAACAUGAAAUUAAUUUUUGUUUUCUAUGUAAUUUCUUUAUCAUGCACAUGCACGCAUACAAUCAUUUUGAUUCCCCAAAAAUUAACAUCCAGUCAUUCAAAUUAAUUAAACUCUUCAUCUCUCACCUGAGUCACCGGCGGCUGUGGUUUCUCGGAUGUAUAUCAACCGGUAAGUGAAUACAGGAUUUGUAAACACCGCAUCAGUAAAAUUCGUCCCUUCGCUCCAAAUCUGACAGCCGAUUUUAUUAUUUUCAUUCGCGGAGGCAAAUGCAAUACAAGAACAAUUUUUCUGGCACGCAAGCUGACAGUCGUUAAUGGUCAUGUUGUCACUUUCUUUAAAAGUGAAUCGAUCGUUAGAUAUAUCAGCCCUUAGGGCUGUUAUUGUCUUGAAAUCAGAAGACGCGUUUCUGCAAACUGGAUAACCCUCAAUUAAUUUCUCCGUCCCAUUGUGGGUGGCCAGUGUUCCGUCCGCCAUUAUUCUUAAUCUUGGAAACAACGCAACGUUUCCUUUGACAGAGUAUGUAAAGUACUUUUCUUGUUUAUUUGAAGUGUAGCUAAAGAUGAAGUCGGAAAUUGUAGAAUCCCCUGAGGAAUCGAAUUAGGGUCAACGCCGAGAGUGAAUGAUCCUUGGUAGGGGUGUUCAGAAUUCAAUCAAAUCCGCUCAAUCCGUCUGAUCCGUAGAAAUCCGAUCCGUGGAUUGGUGGAUUGGAUUGGAUUAAAAUUUUGAUAAUCCGCAAUUGGUGGAUUGGCUAUGGAUCUACUUCUGCAAAUUCGCAAAAAUCCACGAAUCUGCAAAAAAAAAAAAUAUUUAAUUAAAAAAUAAAACUUGUAAAUAUGGCAUUAGUACUUACUAGUAAAUAAAUUAAUUAAAAUAUAAUUACAUUAACACUAUAUUAUAUUUUAUUCAAUAAUAAUAUAAAAUAAAAAAAUAAUUAAAUAAACAAAUAUAGUUUGUAAAUAGUUAAUUUCCAUGUACUGAUAUAAGCGAAUGCGAUUUUUUUUCGUUUUGCUGUGUUAUAUUUUUGAAAUUUUAAAUGUAUUUUCUACCUUUAUUUAAACAAUUAAUUUAUUUAAAUUUUAAAUUUGAUUGGUAGUAAAAUUAUUUUUAUAUUAUUAUUUUUAUUUAGUUAGUUCAUGCACUGGAAAAAAUUAAAAAUUUUUAGUUCGCAAACCAAUCCGCAAAAUGGUGGAUUGGAUAUGGAUUGAGUCAAAUCCACAUCCGAUCCGCAGAUGUAUGGAUUAGAUUUGGAUUGAAUUUCAUCAAUCCAUGGAUUGGAUUGGAUUGAAAAUUUAUAAUCCGCAAAAUCGUGGAUUGGAGAUGGAUUGAGGUCUAAUCCGUAAAAUUCGAUCCGCGAACACCCAUAAUCCUUGGGCAGUGGAUUCUUUCAGUAAUCCAAGAUUGAAGAAGAAACCAUUUUUUAUCAGUCUCGAAAUGUAUCAGUCGGAUAGUCAAAACUCUGCCACAACACUACUACUACUACUACUCCUCAUCCUCCUACUCCUACUACUCCUACUACUACAAUAUAUUACCAGUUAGUUUCACUCAAAUUUAACAAAAAUGUAUGUACAAUUUCAAAGCUGUUUAUUCUGGUUCUCAUAUAUAGCAACAACACUUCAAUAACAAAAGAAUUUAAUUACAAAUCGUAAUUCUAAGUUUAAUAUCUGUUUGACUAUGAAUGAUUAGAUUAUAAUUUCAUUUUAUUCUGUAGCAAUACAGAACCAUAGCUCCCUUGGUCUUCGAUCUUAUUUUAUUAUCUGUCAUAGAAAGCUAACCCGCCCAUAACGAAACUCUUCAAAAUAUGUUUUUAGAAUGAUAAACGAAAAAUUUUCGUACUCAAUUACUCUUUGAUACAUCUGAAAGUCUUACAAUAGACGGCAGAGUGAUGCCACUUAUUCCAAAAGUUAUCCCAAAAUGUCACCCGAAAUAGUAAGUCACACAUUCAUUACAUGAAAUCAUAAAAAUGGGAGAACAAAUUAUCUUACUAAAUCACUCAAAUUAUUCUUAAAUAAUGAUAUUACUGUGUUAUAGACUCAUCUACCUUCCAUCCUUGAUAUCGUCACAUCAUUCACAGAACAAACUUCUAACUUGAUUUCAGUAACUUCUGGCUCUUCAUAAUCAGAAGAAAUAUUAAUGUAAAAUGCCGGUUGCUUUGGUUUAGACAGAGCCAUGGUAUCGUUGGUAAGCAUGGAACCCACAUCGGACAUUGUUGGUCUAUCAGCUGCUCGGUCUUGAACACACAAAAGACCCACAUGAAUACAUCUGAUAACUUCGUCGGGAGAGCAUGAUUCAUCCAAUGUUGGGUCCAUUAACUCCAAAGCUUUGCCUUCAUUCCAUAGUUGCCAGGCCUGAAACAGGGGAAAGUUUUUCUUAAAUAAACUAAUCUUGCCCUAUUUUUUAUUAAAUAAACAGGGGAUUUUUUAUUACUCACAUAUCCGACUAGGUUGAGUGGGCGUUCUGUGUCAUAAGAACCAUUGUUCUUCUUGCUACUUAUAAUUUCCAGUACCAAAACUCCGAAGCUAUAUACAUCAGAUUUC